GCAGCCUGAUCCAGCCAUGCCGCGUGCAGGAUGACGGUCCUAUGGAUUGUAAACUGCUUUUGUACGAGAAAAAACACUCCUAUGUAUAGGAGCUUGACGGUAUCGUAAGAAUAAGGAUCGGCUAACUCCGUGCCAGCAGCCGCGGUAAUACGGAGGAUCCAAGCGUUAUCCGGAAUCAUUGGGUUUAAAGGGUCCGUACGCGGUUUAGUAAGUCAGGGUUGAAAGCCCAUCGCUCAACGGUGGAACGGCCAUUGAUACUGCUGAACUUGAAUUAUUAUGAAGGAACUAGAAUAUGUAGCGUAGAGGUGAAGUGGUAAGAGAUUACAUGGAAUACCACUUGCGAAGGCAGGUUACUACUAAUUGAUUGACGCUGAUGGACGAAAGCGUGGGUAGCGAACGGGAUUACAUACCCUGGUAGUCCACGCCGUAAACGAUGGAUACUACCUGUUGGGAGCAAUUUCAGUGGCUAAGCGAAAGUGAUAAGUAUCCCACCUGGGGAGUACGUUCGCAAGAAUGAAACUCAAAGGAAUUGACGGGGGCCCGCACAAGCGGUGGAGCAUGUGGUUUAAUUCGAUGAUACCCGAGGAACCUUACCAAGGCUUAAAUGUAGAUUGACCGUUUUGGAAACAGAACUUUCUC
rnacentral:rRNA from 1 species